CCAUGACAAGCCAUUCAAUUUUGUUUGUUUGACCUUUUCUGACCAAUUUUGAAGAAUCGCGAUUAUUUUGCGGGGGAGCACGUAUGAUCUGUAGAUAAGAACAGACCUGACCCUGAAAAGACUCUCCUUUUUGUUGAACUUCCAUUGGGAGGAGAGUUGUGGAAACGUUUUUUGAAGAGGAAAUUGGAAACUUGGUCCACUAAUAAAGACUGAAUCUUCAAGAAGAUUAUAUUGAAAAGUAACCAGCUUUCAAGCAAAAAGGGGCAAAAUAUAUUACAGCAUUUUCAUUCAGU